rnacentral:miRNA from 1 species
CCCCAGAUGUUGCUGAACUACAACUCCCAUGAUUCCUUGGCUAUCUGUUUCAUUGAAAGAAUCAUGGGAGUUGUAGUUCAGCAACAUCUGGGG